rnacentral:rRNA from 1 species
GAUGAACGCUGGCGGCGUGCUUAACACAUGCAAGUCGAACGAAGCACUUUACUACGAUUUCUUCGGAAUGACGGUUUUGUGACUGAGUGGCGGACGGGUGAGUAACGCGUGGAUAACCUGCCUCAUACAGGGGGAUAACAGCCGGAAACGGCUGCUAAUACCGCAUAAGCGCACGGUACCGCAUGGUACAGUGUGAAAAACUCCGGUGGUAUGGGAUGGAUCCGCGUCUGAUUAGCCAGUUGGCGGGGUAACGGCCCACCAAAGCGACGAUCAGUAGCCGACCUGAGAGGGUGACCGGCCACAUUGGGACUGAGACACGGCCCAAAACUCCUACGGGAGGCAGCAGUGGGGAAUAUUGCACAAUGGGGGAAACCCUGAUGCAGCGACGCCGCGUGAGCGAAGAAGUAUUUCGGUAUGUAAAAGCUCUAUCAGCAGGGAAGAAGAAAUGACGGUACCUGACUAAGAAGCCCCGGCUAACUAACCGUGCCAAGCAGCCGCGGUAAAGUAGUG